CCUACGGGAGGCAGCAGUGAGGAAUAUUGGACAAUGGGCGCAAGCCUGAUCCAGCCAUGCCGCGUGCAGGAAGACGCAUCUAUGGUGUGUAAACUGCUUUUGUACGGGAAGAAACACUCCCUCGUGAGGGAGCUUGACGGUACCGUAAGAAUAAGGAUCGGCUAACUCCGUGCCAGCAGCCGCGGUAAUACGGAGGAUCCAAGCGUUAUCCGGAAUCAUUGGGUUUAAAGGGUCCGUAGGCGGUUUAAUAAGUCAGUGGUGAAAGCCCAUCGCUCAACGAUGGAACGGCCAUUGAUACUGUUAGACUUGAAUUACUAGGAAGUAACUAGAAUAUGUAGUGUAGCGGUGAAAUGCUUAGAUAUUACAUGGAAUACCAAUUGCGAAGGCAGGUUACUACUAGUGGAUUGACGCUGAUGGACGAAAGCGUGGGGAGCGAACAGGAUUAGAUACCCUGGUAGUCCACGCCGUAAACGAUGGAUACUAGCUGUUGGGCGCAAGUUCAGUGGCUAAGCGAAAGUGAUAAGUAUCCACCUGGGGAGUACGUUCGCAAGAAUUGAAACUCAAAGGAAUUGACGGCUUGGNGAGNGCGAGACGACGACGAGGAGGAGG
rnacentral:rRNA from 1 species